CAGGGAAUCAGAUUGUUUCUUUUCGAGUGGAUUCCUUUUCCUUUUGUAUUAUUCUUUAUCAGAUAUUGUGUUUUGAAUAAUUGGUUUGAUUCUGAGAAGAUAUAUGCGAUCAGAGAGAUGAUUCAUUUAACCUCCUGUUUUUUAUGAAUUUUGCAGUUAUAUUCAUUGAAGUGUCAAAUUGCACUGAUUCUUUUACCUGAUUAGAGCUAUCACAAGCUGGUUUGAUAGAAUGAUAAAUUCGAUUUCCUUGGCUUGCUGUCACUUCAUAGGUUAAGCAUUGUGGGAACAUGAUAUUUCUACUCUUCCUGCUGCUUAAUUGGUUGUUACUUGAGCUUACAUUGUUGACUGGUUCAUCUUGGUUUACCAGAAUACCGAGUCAUUACUUGUUGGAGAUGCAGACGCUGGAGAAUGGAUUUCGGAUGUGGGAUUUGUUCACCAAUAUAAUAUAUAUUUCGAUUAUGGUGUACUUUCAUCAUGUUGAUCAAUCAGGGUUAUUGACAAAUUAACUUAGUGCAUUUGCUUUUUAUGAUUCAGAGGAUGCUGCAAAUAGAAGCAAAAGAUGUCCUACUCUUUUUUGUCCCAUGUGUUGUUGAGUGUGGCCAUUACUUCUGUUGUUACUGUAGUAUUUGGAAGGAUGUGGUGGGCAUCAUCUUCAAAAGGUUGGGUCAUUCGAUGCCUUCCUAGAUACAAGGUAUUUGAGGUUUUCAUUAUUGGUCAGGACUACUUUUUCCCCUUGUAUAUUGAUUUUAUAGGACUCAUCCACCUUUCAAGUCCUUUCACAGUUCUUCUUCAUUCUUGGGUUGUAUUAUUGGCUCAUCUUUCUGAUCCAUUAGUGCUCACAAUCGUGGUUUAUGCGUUAUUUGCGGUUCUCUGGUGUAUUUGUUCUCUUGCAUUUCUUUUCCAUUCUCCCUCCAAGCAAGUUUAGGUUUGUCUGUUAUAAUUCUGAUACACUGCAUCUGCUAUUAUACUUUCGGUGGUGAUCCCUUUUACAUCGAGUGCUUAUCUAGAUCUGGGAUAAUCUUGAUUUCUUGGUUAAUCUCAUGCAAUAUAUCAUCUUGUGAUUGAUGUUGGCAGUUGUUUCAUGAUUUCCUGUUGCAUCAGUGGCCUGGCGAUUCUCUCAUUUUCGACCAACACCUUGAGUUCUUAAUACAAUCUGGCUCCAUUGGAGAGUAUAUUUGUUUUUUCAUGAAGGGUUUUCUCGCUUUGAUUAUUGAAUUGAUUGUGCUAAUUUUUGGCCUUUAUGCUUUUAGUUCAGGUCUUUCUUAGUUUGUUAUUUGUGAUGUUGCAGAAGAGCUUACGCAACUUGGGAAAAUCUUGCUGAAGAGGUAUCUUCAUCUUAUAAUUGAAGGAAGCGCCGAGGAAAUGGAAUGCAAUGAUAUGUUUUUUUUUUUUACUGAAUAGAGUUUCUAAUCUUGAUAGCGGGGUUCAUUAUGCUUGCCUUUUCGUGCGGUAGCUGCUCAUGUGGAAACAUAAAGGUUAAUUUAUUAUUUGUGCUGUUGCAGUUUAGCUUGUGCUGCAGGAUACAAUUUUGCCCCAUAUUAGCCAAUAUAGAAGGAAUCGUCCUUAUUUAUAUCAUUGUUUGUAUUUGAUGCCUAUAUGUUUUUAAUCACCCUUUUUUCUCAAUAGGGUUUUCUUUUGGGCUCAUAUUUUAGCAAUCCUUUUAUUUGCUUCACCAGAACCUUGAUUUGAUCUGUGAAGGGCGAUACUAGAGGAAUUAGUGUUAAGAAAGGAUUUUUCAUGAUGAGGAUUCCUCACUUCCCCUGAUAAUCUAGGGGUCACGGUAUGUGGGGCUUGACAUGGGAUGCUAUCUUGAUAAGUGGAUCUGCUGCUUAUAUGCUUUGUCAAGUUUCAUUUCUGUAUUCCAGAAAUCUCAUUCAUUUGUGUUAUUAAUAACCUGGUGAUGUUCUCUUAUUUUUUUGACCAGAACCGUCAGCUCUCAAGACAUCUGUGUGGAUUGGAUCAUGAUAUGUGCUUUUGAUGGAGCGUGUUCCUCAACCUUUAUCAUAGAAUUGGUAAUAUUUCCCAUUUGUUCUUAAACUUAGAGUUCAAGUCAUAGGAUUGGUAUUUCUGAUGUCACAGAGAGCUUGCACAACAUCAGGUUAUCUUGCUCAAGUGCAUCUUUACCUGAUAAUGAAGACAGUUCGAAGGAAAUGUAAUGAUAUGAUUUUCUAUGGAGGGAGUUUCUCAUCUUUGAUAGACUACUUUUUCGUGCACUAGCUGUUCAUGGGGAACGUUGGAAGUUACUGUAUGGUUUGUGUUGUUGCAGUAACUUUGCUGUAGGUUAUUAUUUUGCCCAUGUGGAAGGGUUUGUCCUUAUUUAUAGCUUGGCCAUUUUCAACAUUAAUUUAUAAUUUGUCAAUCUUUGUUCUGAGCGCUGAAAGUUUGAGUAACUGGGAUUAAGGAAGGGUUUUUAAUGAAGGUGCUUCCUUCCACAAAUUCUUUAGGAGUCCAUGAUCUCAUUCAUCCCUGUUGAGUUGGUGACCUUGUGAGCUUCUCUCAUUUGUUUGACUUACUUGAGCGCUUGAGAGAUUUUGGGUGAAAGAGAGAAGGUAUGUUUUUUUUAAACUAUGGAGUGGGUUCCUUAAGCUCAUUAAUUUGUUACUGCUGGCAUUGCAUAGGAGCCUGUGCAUCGUGGGCAAUCUUGCUCAAAGGUACUCUUGAUCUGAUAAUGGAAAAUGGUUUGGAGGAAUGAAUUGAUGAAGGUUGUUCGUCAUCUUUGAUAGCGGAGUGAAUAUUUUCUAUUCUUUCCUCCACCAGCUGUUCAAAUUGAGGAGGUUAAUUUAUUAUUUGUUCUGUUGCUGAGUUUGUGCUGCAAAUCACAGUUUUACCCUUGUGGAAGGGUUUGUCUCUAAUUUAUAUCAUAGUUUUUGUUUGUAUACCUGUGUUCCUAAUUUCCAUAUUUCAAUCUUAAUUGGGAAUCUGUCGAUCUAUAUUUUCAGCACCGUGAUUUUAUUUUUGGGUGACUAUCUUAGCAACCCUUUUGUUCGCUUUUCAGCACCUCAGUUUGAUCAGUGAAGGCAACAUGGCGGGUUAGAGUUAAGGAAGAAAUUUUCAUGAAUCACUUCGCAGAUAAAGGUUGGGAUCUUUCAGUUUAUGUUGUGUGGGUUGGAUCCAUAAGAUACCACAGCUUUUGAUGUUCUAUAAUUCACCGAAAUGAGUUGGUAGUUCGAUCCUUUUGAUUCUUAUCCUCCUUGUAACAGGCAUCCUGAGCAAUACGUUGUUUUACAUAUAAAUUUGAUUAUGCUAUUGUUUCUCUCUAUCUACAAUGUGUCAUUAAAGAGUUGAAGAAUAGUUAACUAGUAUGAGAGCAUCUCAUUUUUUGGUACGGUAUUUAUUGUAUUAUUGUUAUCUAUUCAGACUGUUAGUUUCUUGAUUGCUUGUUUAUCAAGAAUGUGGCAUAUAGGAUGCACAUUAUUUUUUGAUAAGGUCUGACUCGAACUUUUUGAAUCUUGUUGGUAACUGCCGCACUGAAGGGAAAAUGCAAACAAGGAGCAGGGGGAGGGCAGUAAGGAAAUAUGGGUGGGGAAACAUGGAUGGUCUAACAUACCUCAUUCAUGGGGACAUUGAGGGAAUUGGUGUUACAUAGUAUAAUAUCAUUGGGAUUAUUGAUGGUUUUUGUGUACUAUAGGUUAUGGAGGUAAGUAGAUUAUGGGUUUGGUUAUCUGUGAUGAUCCUUUUUUUUUAUUUUCAUAGGGUUGAAGGUAUCUGCUAGCUUGUAUUCAUCUUUAUGCAGUGCCAGUUCAUAAAGCAUAUAAUAUGGAGUCUAUUUUGUUUAGUGGCUUUGUAGCUUUGUCUCUUGGUUCCAGAAUAUAUUCAUUCCCAUUUAUCUAGUAAGCUUGCGAUCAUCUCUCAUUUCUAUGACCCGCUCCUUGAUCAUUAUAGGAUGUAUGCACUAAUUGGAGUAUGAUAUGACCAUUUUCACUGGCAUCAUUUUUAGCCUUGAGUUUAGAAUCAGUUAUAGUUGUUUUCUCCUGAUACUUAAGAGUUUAUAUGAUAGGAUAACUUGUUAUUUCUGUUGUUGCAGAAAAGCCAGUGCAAGUGGGAAACAAUCUAUCUCAGGGGUAUCUUGAUCUUGAAGGCUAUAUAAAAACUGGAGUUUAAUGUUGUGAUUUUUUAUUAAGGGGAUCGAAAUGUUUGUUAGUGGAGUUUACUAUAUUUUUUUGUUCACAAACUAUUCACAUGGAAGAUUAAUUUAUUAUUUCUGCCGUCGCAGAUGUGCUUGUAUUGCGGGAUGCAAUUUUUCCAAGGCAGAAGAGCAGGGUGUGUCCUUUAUAUCCUAGUCAUUGUUUUUGUGCAUUUGUGUACCAAAUAGUCGCCCUGUUCCAUUAUUGGCUUGUGUUCUCUUAAUGGGUCUGGUCCCUUGGUAGAUUUUGGAAAAUGCUGGAUUAUGAUUUGUAAUGAGCUUUAUUUUCUUCCUGUUAGAUUUGCACUAUACUUUUUCUUGUAUUGAUAAUCGUGCUAUUAUAUAUUGUAGGCAAUGGUGUGUCUUAGAAGUUAGAGCUGAUAUAAGUUCUUCUUUUGAUAAGUGACUUAGUAGCUGCUAGACUUAAAUCUGGGUUUGUUUUUUCAUCCUUGUUCCAAUUACUCAAAUAUUUCUUUAUUAUUGGUAAUCCUGUCGUUUUCCUCACCAGAACUAUGAUUUGAUUCGUGAAGGCAUAAUGGAGCAAUCCAAGUGGAGCAGUGAUUUUUCGUGCAUUGGUGCAUAUGUGAAUUGAUUUUUAUUCUGCUACUGCUGAGUGACUUAGUAUCUGUUAGUCUAUUCUGUUCAUCUUUGUUCCUCAUGCUCUAACUUUUGAUAUGGAUUACUCUUUUGCUUCACUAGAAAUUUGAUUUGAUCUGUGAAAGCAUCAUGGGGGAAUCCAAGGGAAGAAGCAAUUUGUAAUUAUGAGAGUAGUACUGUAGGUGACAUUUCAGCUGAUGAACAGAGGGGGCUCACUGGCUUAUGUCAUUUCAUUGUAUUUUAAUCAUCAUUUACAUACUGUUGGCUUCUUUAAUUUCAUUAUCAGUAUCAAUAUUAUUGGUGGUUUUACUCUAUUCUUGCUUGCAAGCGGAUGUAGAUUUCUUGAAGAUUUGCAUUUAUUAUGGUAGUGAGUUUCUUGAAGAUUUGCAGCAAUUUUUUUGACUUGGUUUUAGUGUUUACAGAAUUAGAAGCUGUUUGUUCUUGUUUGUGUGUUUGACAAUCGAAUAUGGUUUCUUGUGAUCUUCUUUUUGAAAAUAAUGCAAGUGGUUGAGUUUUUUUUUGGAACUGGGAGUGCUCUUUUGUUAAACUACAGGCAUUUCUUGUAAUGUGUUUUGAUCAGUUUUUGAAUAUCGCCAAUCCAACAAUAUGAGUUCAGACUUGCUUAUGAUUUUCCUGCUGCCAGUUUUACAGUUUUUGGUAUUCAUUUUUACAAUAUUAUUUUCAGUUUGAAAGCAUCACACAAGCAUUAUUUUGCAGCCUGAUGAGUGUUUUCUGAUGUUUCUGAUACUAAUACUCGAAAGAGAUGUUCCUGAUUCCAAUUCAAUGUUACUUUAGAUUCCAUCUUCCAGUGUUGGACAAGAUAGGCAUGAUUCAGAGGCUGAAAUUGAGGUUGGAGAUUUGCAGUAGUUGUGGAAUCUUCUGUGACUUGGUUGUUAGGGUUCACAAAAUUAGGAGCUGUUUGUUCUUGUUUGAGGAUUUCACAGUUGAAUCUGGUUUAUUGUGAUUUAGUUUACUUUUUUUUUUCCCUAAAAAAGAAAAUCCAAGUGGUCAGGUUUCUUUCUUAUGGAAGUGGUAGUGCUCCAUUGUUAAUCUGCAGGAAUCAGCCAUGGUGUAUUCUUAUUGGAUCUUUGAGUAUUGCCAAUCCGACAGUCCGAGUUCAGAUUUACUUCAUGAUUUUCUUGUAUUCAGUUGAAGCACUGGUGCCGGGGUUAUGAGUUUUAAGUAUUUAUUUUAAUAAUCCUUUCAGCGUGCAAUCUUCGUGGAAGGGGUUUCUGAUGUUGAUACUCAUGCUUGAUGCUUCUGAUUGUGAGUUGUUAUUUCAGUUUCCAUAUUUUGAUGUUGGACAUGAGAAGUCUUUCAUGGGGGUUUCUUCUUCUUUAUAGUUGUUUCUCUUCGUAUUUUUAUUUUUAUUUUUAUUUUUUCAAGUAAGGUUUUGUAUGGUUAUUAUCAUCUGUCUAUUCCCUGGGGAUUUCUUGAAGAUUUGCAGUAAUCUAGGGAACCAGGGAAUUCUUGGAGAUUUGCAGUGAAUUUCUUGAAGAUUUUCUUGAAGAUUGCAGUAAUUAAGGUUUCGAAUUUCUUGAGGAUUUGCAAUAGUUUGGUAUUUCUCUAUGACAUGGUUUAGGGUUUGCAGAAUUAGAGGCAGUUUGUUCUUCUUUGAGAAUUCGUCGAUAUGAGGUUUGAACCCAUUUUUUCGUGAUUUUGGUUUCCUUUUUGAAAAGGAAUUUAAUUGGUUCAGGUAUCUUAUGAAACUGGAAGUGCCUCUUCAUUAAUCUACAGGAAUCAGCAGUGUUGUGUUUUAAUUGGAUUCUGAUUGUUGCCCAUCCGACUGUGCAAGUUCUGGCUUGCCUCAUGAUUUUCUUAUAUUUGGUUGAAGAAUUGUUGUGGGAUUAUGAAAUUUUAGUUUUUUUUAAAAUAUAUUAAGGUCAGUUUGAAAACAUCAGAGAAGCAUUAUCUUGCAGACCAGGGAAGCAUGAUUUUGAGGCUGGAAUUCAGAUAGAUUGAUUUCUUGUGAAGGGGGUUUGUCUAUCGCUUGGAUAUGAUGAAAAUAUUAUUGUGCAAGAAACAAAGACUUCUGAUGAUGUUCAUGCCAAAUCAUGGUUCUUGAUUCUUGAUGGUUGCUUUAGGUUCCAUCGUGAAAGGGAUGCCCUUGUUAUCCAAUUCAAACAAAAGAGAUGAUGUAGAGGCAGGGAAUCAGAUUGUUUCUUUUUGAGUGGAUUCCUUUUCCUUUCGUAUUAUUCUUGAUCAGAUAUUGUGAUUUGAAUAAUUGGUUCGAUUCUGAGAAGCAAUAUGUGAUCAGAGAGAUGAUUCAUUUAACCUCCUGUUUUUGAUGAAAUUUGCAGUUAUAUCCAUUGAAGUGUUAAAUUGCAUUGAUUCUUUUACCUGAUUAGAGCUAUCACUUGCUGGUUUGAUAGAAUGAUAAAUUCCAUUUCCUUGGCUUGC
rnacentral:lncRNA from 1 species